CCUACGGGUGGCAGCAGUAGGGAAUUUUCGGCAAUGGGGGCAACCCUGACCGAGCAACGCCGCGUGAACGAAGAAGUUAUUCGUAAUGUAAAGUUCUUUUAACAGGGAAGAAAGAGAAAUUUGACGGUACCUGAAGACUAAGCUCCGGCUAACUACGUGCGAGCAGCCGCGGUAAUACGUAGUGAGCGAGCGUUAUCCGGAUUUAUGGGGCGAAAGGGGUGCGUAGAUGGCAUAGUAAGUCUUUUGUAAAAAUGCUGGGCUCAACCCAGUAGGGCAAAAGAUACUGCAAAGCUAGAGUAUGACAGAGGCAGGUGGAACUACAUGUGUAGCGGUAAAAUGCGUAAAUAUAAGUAAGAACACCAGUGGCGAAGGCGGCUUGCUGGGCCGAUACUGACAGUGAGGCACGAAAGCGUGGGGAGCAAACAGGAUUAGAUACCCCAGUAGUC
rnacentral:rRNA from 1 species